rnacentral:rRNA from 1 species
CAGUCGCCACGGUAAUACGUAGGGUGCGAGCGUUAAUCGGAAUUACUGGGCGUAAAGCGUGCGCAGGCGGUUAUAUAAGACAGAUGUGAAAUCCCCGGGCUCAACCUGGGACCUGCAUUUGUGACUGUAUAGCCAGAGUACGGUAGAGGGGGAUGGAAUUCCGCGUGUAGCAGUGAAAUGCGUAGAUAUGCCGAGGAACACCGAUGGCGAAGGCAAUCCCCUGGACCUGUACUGACGCUCAUGCACGAAAGCGUGGGGAGCAAACAGGAUUAGAUACCCCAGUAGUCCCUGUCUCUUAUAC